rnacentral:rRNA from 1 species
GACAGAGGGUGCGAACGUUGCUCGGAAUUACUGGGCGUAAAGCGCGAGUAGGUGGUGCGAUCAGUCGGAUGUGAAAGCCCUGGGCUCAACCCGGGAAGUGCAUUCGAUACUGUCGCACUGGAGUCUUGAAGAGGAGAGCGGAAUUCCCGGUGUAGAGGUGAAAUUCGUAGAUAUCGGGAGGAACACCAGUGGCGAAGGCGGCUCUCUGGGCAAUGACUGACACUGAGACGCGAAAGCGUGGGAAGCAAACAGG